rnacentral:rRNA from 1 species
UGACUGGGAUAGCAUGCGAGUCACGCCGAAAGGCGUGGCUACGGCUCAGUAACACGUAGUCAACAUGCCCAAAGGACGUGGAUAACCUCGGGAAACUGAGGAUAAACCGCGAUAGGCCAAGGUUUCUGGAAUGAGCCAUGGCCGAAAUCUACAUGGCCUUUGGAUUGGACUGCGGCCGAUCAGGCUGUUGGUGAGGUAAUGGCCCACCAAACCUGUAACCGGUACGGGCUUUGAGAGAAGGAGCCCGGAGAUGGGCACUGAGACAAGGGCCCAGGCCCUAUGGGGCGCAGCAGGCGCGAAACCUCUGCAAUAGGCGAAAGCCUGACAGGGUUACUCUGAGUGAUGCCCGCUAAGGGUAUCUUUUGGCACCUCUAAAAAUGGUGCAGAAUAAGGGGUGGGCAAGUCUGGUGUCAGCCGCCGCGGUAAUACCAGCACCCCGAGUUGUCGGGACGAUUAUUGGGCCUAAAGCAUCCGUAGCCUGUUCUGCAAGUCCUCCGUUAAAUCCACCUGCUCAACGGAUGGGCUGCGGAGGAUACCGCAGAGCUAGGAGGCGGGAGAGGCAAACGGUACUCAGUGGGUAGGGGUAAAAUCCAUUGAUCUACUGAAGACCACCAGUGGCGAAGGCGGUUUGCCAGAACGCGCUCGACGGUGAGGGAUGAAAGCUGGGGGAGCANACCGGAUUAGAUACCCGGGUAGUCCCAGCUGUAAACGAUGCAAACUCGGUGAUGGGUUGGCCUCCAACCAACCCAGUGCCGCAGGGAACCCGUUAGCCCUGCGCCUGGGGAGUACGGUCGCAAGACUGAAACUUAAGGAAUUGGCGGGGAAACCCCCAAGGGGUUAAAGCCUCGGUUUCAUUGGAGUCCACGCCGGAAAUCUUACCGGGGGGCCACGCCAAAGUAU